AACGAACGCUGGCGGCAGGCUUAACACAUGCAAGUCGUACGCCCCGCAAGGGGAGUGGCAGACGGGUGAGUAACGCGUGGGAAUCUACCCAUCUCCGCGGAAUAGCUCCGGGAAACUGGUAUUAAUACCACAUACGCACUACGGGGGAAAGAUUUAUCGGGGAUGGAUGUUGCCGGGUUGGAUUAGCUAGGUGGUGGGGUAAAGGCCUACCAAGGCGACGAUCCAUAGCUGGUCUGAGAGGAUGAUAAGCCACAUUGGGACGGAGACACGGCCCAAACUCCUACGGGAGGCAGCAGUGGGGAAUAUUGGACAAGGGGCGCAAGCCUGAUCCAGCCAUGCCGCGUGAGUGAUGAAGGCCUUAGGGUUGUACAGCUCUUUCACCGGUGAAGAUAAUGACGGUAACCGGAGAAGAAGCCCCGGCUAACUUCGUGCCAGCCGCCGCCGUAA
rnacentral:rRNA from 1 species